CAGCAGCCGCGGGAAUACGAAGGGGGCUAGCGUUGUUCGGAUUUACUGGGCGUAAAGCGCACGUAGGCGGACUUUUAAGUCAGGGGUGAAAUCCCGGGGCUCAACCCCGGAACUGCCUUUGAUACUGGAAGUCUUGAGUAUGGUAGAGGUGAGUGGAAUUCCGAGUGUAGAGGUGAAAUUCGUAGAUAUUCGGAGGAACACCAGUGGCGAAGGCGGCUCACUGGACCAUUACUGACGCUGAGGUGCGAAAGCGUGGGGAGCAAACAGGAUUAGAUACCCGAGUAGUCCCUGUCUCUUAUAC
rnacentral:rRNA from 1 species